rnacentral:rRNA from 1 species
GACGAACGCUGGCGGCGUGCUUAACACAUGCAAGUCGAACGGAAAGGCCCUGCUUUUGUGGGGUGCUCGAGUGGCGAACGGGUGAGUAACACGUGAGUAACCUGCCCUUGACUUUGGGAUAACUUCAGGAAACUGGGGCUAAUACCGGAUAGGAGCUCCUGCUGCAUGGUGGGGGUUGGAAAGUUUCGGCGGUUGGGGAUGGACUCGCGGCUUAUCAGCUUGUUGGUGGGGUAGUGGCUUACCAAGGCUUUGACGGGUAGCCGGCCUGAGAGGGUGACCGGCCACAUGGGGACUGAGAUACGGCCAGACUCCUACGGGAGGCAGCAGUGGGGAAUAUUGCACAAUGGGCGGAAGCCUGAUGCAGCAACGCUGCGUGCGGGAUGACGGCCUUCGGGUUGUAAACCGCUUUCGCCUGUGACGAAGCGUGAGUGACGGUAAUGGGUAAAGAAGCACCGGCUAACUACGUG